GGAAUAGAUAAGGUGAAGAACUUACAGGGAUGUAUGAAUUCUUUUUCUGUAUUUUAUUAUUUCUGUGUCUCCCCUAUGACCUGUAUAAUAUGUGCAGGCUCAUAUCUAUUUGAGCCUUGGCCAGCUAGAAACAUAUUUACUUAACCUGAACUGAUGACAUUUAUUGGUAUUUGACAUUUAUCAAUAUUUAGUCUAUUAGCUGGACCACUGUCUGCUUGAUUAAGCCUGAACGCCUGACUUUAUUUCCCAGAAAUCAGGAGAUUUCAGGGAAACAGAAACCUUCCGUUCCAAUCUCCCCAAAUAGCAACAACCAAUUAGAUGCCUCCCCCUCCCCUUCUCAAUGCUCUCUUACUUGUGAUGUAAUUUCUUGUAUAAAAGCUAUGUAUCUUUACUACUUCUUUAGCCCUCCUACCUCGAGCUUAUCUUGCGAUGGAACAGCUCAUCCUCUGGAGGUUUUUCAAUAAACAACUUUUCUGCCUUCUACUGAGGGAUCUCUGAGUAGUCAUUUUGGGUAAGGGUCUUCUACAUCCCUCACAGUUGGGGGCUCGUCCGGGAUGGGAUCUUUGGGGGAGAUAGCUAUGUGUACCCCGAACAGGGACAGGCGCCCACGGAGUAGUUUUCUCCAUGGUCUCUGGCUUUGGGUGAGCAGCCUCCCUCCCCUCUUAGACAACAACCCGAAGCAGGGAUACUCAGUGGAACGCAGAAUUGAAGAUUGAAAGAAGUAGAGUCCUGAUGGCCGGCAUUUGCAGCCUGAAAAGAAACAUAUGUUCUCGAGAUUAUUGAAUCUCUUCUGAGACAUGGAUCGGCCCAUCUGAAGCUUAGAUUGACACCACACCCACACCCCUGCAUGAAUUGAGCACCUUCGCCCAUUUCUCAGCCUGAAGCAGCUAAGAUCGAGACCAUCGCCAGUGCUCCUGAUGUAAUUUGGACUGAUAUGGGGGAAGUGGGAAAGUGGUUGAUGAAUUAUUGUUAAAAUUACAACUCUAUUACUAGAGUUAGAAAAAAAAUGCAAACAUUACUGUGUGUUUAAGAUUUGGGAUGGAAAUUAUUAAAAAUAGUAACUAUUGCUGUUAAGGAAGUUAUAAUAUGUUUAUAAUAUCUAUGUUCACUUCAGAAUAUGUAAUUGUUUAAGGUAUUUGAUUUGAUUUGAUUUGAUUUGAUUGAUUUUAGGAAACUCCUCCUGUACUAGACUGUUAUGUAUGUAGGAACUUUAAUUCACUCUUGGGAUUUAUAUGUGGAUGGUAAUUUGACUAUUUAUUAUUAUUAUUUUUUUUUUGGAUGAUUCCUUUCCAUGAGGAAAAAAAAGGAGAGGAAGAGAUAGGGAACUAGGGAAACUGGUGGAUUUUUCUCAAAAUACCUAAAAGAGUGGGAACCCUUAGUUUUCUUUCACUUUUGCCUUAUGUACUUCUGCCCCACCCCCUAUACCACCAGUUCAGAUUGAAUUGGAAGUCCUUAAACAAUCCUUUUUGUUUUUACUAUGUUUUAGCUUUGAAACCCCUUAUUCUGUGGAAUUGCCCUGGCAGACUCAGUUUUGGGAACUAUUCUGUUUUAAAGAAAUCUCUAAGAUAAAGACAUUUGUCUUGGGACUGGCAAUCACCAGCCCUGUAACCCCAGUUUCUUAACUGGUACCUCAGCAUUUUUAAUAACAUUGCCCUUUUGAGAUCAAGCCUCUAAAGUUUGGGGUUUGCCUGCCUUCAUGUUCUAACUGUGCAUGCUCUGAUAGCUCUGCUCAGAAAUCUGUAUUCCAGUAGCAGCCCUGUCUGUCCCCCUGGGUGGGGACAGGUGGAGCUACUCUAAGCCUCACCCUUCUCCCCUAGAGUGGGUUGCCCCUCUGAAUGGGCAGCAUGACUGUCUCGAGCCUUGCUACUUCCUUUAUAAGCAGAAGCUGAGUUAAGUGCACAAAUGACUGCAGACCACCUAACACAGUGAACUGUCCAUCUCAAACUGGAUUCUCUGGCUGAGAUGAGGGCUUUUGUACUGCUGAUAACUCUGGGGUUGUCAGGAAGAGACUUGCUCUUGCUAUAAGUCCUUGCAUUUUCUAGUUUCAUUUUGACUUAUUUGCCUCACAUUGGAUUGGUCAAAAUUAUGGUGCUGAGACCUCCCAGAUAUCUUGGGGAGGUAAUUCAAUAAUUCAAAUAUUCAGAAGAAGAGUGUGUAAUGUUGUGCCUCAGUUUCCCUAGAUUGUCAUCUUUAUUUAUCUUUGUAUUUUUAUGUUUGCCAAAUGCCAAUCUGUUCUGUGAUAACUGUUUCUAAGAUAGUUGGUGGAAGCAAUUUUUAUGGUAUGAACUUAUUGCAGUCAAUGGUAUUAUCCUGUUGCUGCUAUGUCUAUCCUGUAUAAUUACAUUAGUAACCAGAAUAGUUCAGUGGUCCUUAUCAAAAUAUUGCAUACAGAAAAUGCUAUUAAAAUGAUGAUUCUUCAGAGAAAAGACUGGAAUGUAUUAAAGAGGGAUGAUCUUGAUUGUGAACUUGAUAAACAAUGUAUAUAUAGAUAUACUAA